rnacentral:rRNA from 1 species
UACGGAGGGUGCAAGCGUUAUCCGGAUUCACUGGGUUUAAAGGGUGCGUAGGCGGGCAGGUAAGUCAGUGGUGAAAUCUUUGGGCUUAACCCGAAAACUGCCAUUGAUACUAUCUGUCUUGAAUAUUGUGGAGGUUUGCGGAAUAUGUCAUGUAGCGGUGAAAUGCUUAGAUAUGACAUAGAACACCAAUUGCGAAGGCAGCUCGCUACACGAAUAUUGACUCUGAGGCACGAAAGCGUGGGGAUCAAACAGG